rnacentral:lncRNA from 1 species
AUGACUUUAAACAUUAAAAUAACUAAGGAAACACGACAUAAAUGCACAAGAACAAGCUAACUAAGUCGCAUAAAUAUGCUCCUAUCAAUUCUUCACUUACAAAUUGUUGUAUGAAGAAAUGAGAGUUGCCUUCAACAACUCUUGAAAGUUUGUAAUUAUGUUUAGAACUUAAUGGUUGGUUGAUAAAAAUAGUCCAUCAACAUGGACUUAUGAUGAUUUUGAAUCAUUGAGUGUUAAAGGGUUAAACCACUUCUAGAGACGGAAACUAGGCAAGGACUUCACCUUUGUGUCCCUAUCCAAAUGGUUCACUAAGUUUAUUGUAAACUAUAUAGUGAACAAUAACCACACACUCUCCAAAUCGUUUGAUGUGUAUAAGACAAUUGAAAUAAGUUUCAAGAGAUAGUGGGAGUUUAGGGACCAUGACUAUUGUAGUCAAAGGAGAAGUCAAAUGAAGAAGGGGAAAUAACUCCAAGGGAACAAACUUUCUUUAUGAAAGGAUGGACAUUGGAAGGGGUAUUUACAAGAAAUAUCUUGCAAGUGUCAAGAACACACCUUUCGAAGGUGUUGUAAAUUGUUCUUGAAAAAUUCAAAACAAUUGGUUCUUCUACUUGAAUGCUUGAUUCCGUAUUAGUAACUAUGUUUUACAAUCGUUGUCAAAGUGUGGCUAAUAAGAAGUAGAAGAUUAAUGAGAGAAGAGAAAGUACUUCACAUUCGGAACGUGAAUCAAAUAUAGAUCUCUGCGAAAGCAGGUAGUACUUACUUCCUCAUAUGAACUACCAAAGAAAAUGGAAAAACAAAGAUUGUCUUUACAUUCCAAUUUGAAUAAAGGAACUUAAUUCCGUAUGAGAAAUGGAUGAAUGUUUUGCUUGACAAAACAUUGUUCUUCAUUAAUGAAUGAUUAGAUUAUUGUAAUCUAAUUGAUUAUCUCUAUAGUAGAGAUCAUAUGGUAGUGUUAAUUGUUUAGAAUAUAACGAUGCUUAAAACCCAAAAGGUUGCAAGGUAGUGACUAAUCCCAACUGAGUUGUGAU